UACGGGGGGGGCAAGCGUUGUUCGGAAUUACUGGGCGUAAAGGGCUCGUAGGCGGCCAACUAAGUCAGACGUGAAAUCCCUCGGCUUAACCGGGGAACUGCGUCUGAUACUGGAUGGCUUGAGUUUGGGAGAGGGACGCGGAAUUCCAGGUGUAGCGGUGAAAUGCGUAGAGAUCAGGAAGAACACCGGUGGCGAAGGCGCUCUGCUAGGCCGCAACUGACACUGAGGGACGAAAGCUAGGGGAGCGAAUGGG
rnacentral:rRNA from 1 species